GUCUCCGUGGCGCAAUGGUAGCGCGUUGGACUUCUACUACAUUCUGGUUCUGGUGAUCCAAAGGCUGCGGGUUCGAGCCCCGCCGGAGAUG